AACGAACGCUGGCGGCAGGCCUAACACAUGCAAGUCGAACGAACCUUCGGGUGAGUGGCGCACGGGUGCGUAACGCGUGGGAACCUACAUCUAGGUGCGGAAUAACACAGAGAAAUUUGUGCUAAUACCGCAUAAUAUCUCCGGAUCAAAGAUUUAUCGCCUAGGGAUGGGCCCGCGUUUGAUUAGAUUGUUGGUGAGGUAAAAGCUCACCAAGUCGACGAUCAAUAGCUGGUCUUAGAGGACGAUCAGCCACACUGGUACUGAGACACGGACCAG
rnacentral:rRNA from 1 species